rnacentral:rRNA from 1 species
UACGGGGGGGGCAAGCGUUGUUCGGAAUUACUGGGCGUAAAGGGCUCGUAGGUGGCCAACUAAGUCAGACGUGAAAUCCCUCGGCUUAACCGGGGAACUGCGUCUGAUACUGGAUGGCUUGAGUUCGGGAGAGGGAUGCGGAAUUCCAGGUGUAGCGGUGAAAUGCGUAGAUAUCUGGAGGAACACCGGUGGCGAAGGCGGCAUUCUGGACCGACAUUGACGCUGAGGAGCGAAAGCCAGGGGAGCAAACGGG